rnacentral:lncRNA from 1 species
UAUAAUUAUAAUUUUUUUUUUACAACAGCUGUGAUUUAAAAAGUAUAGCACCUCAAUCUCAAACGCAUCGUUACUUUCUUGUUGAGGUGCCAUGCUUUUGUUGAUGGAAAUAACAGUGGAGACGCUAACACAGUAGGUUUCUUGAGGAGGAUUUGAAAGCAUCAUUCCAACCGAUCUGAAAAUCACCAAAUCCGAACUUAGCCAAUCGAAAUUCGAAUAUAUCCAAAAUAUUCAUCCCGUUUGAAUCUAAUCCGAUUUAUUUCUGCUCGAAUUUCAAGUUUUAUUGGAAUCAGAUGGUUUUUUUUCUCAAUCCACUCCACCCAAACUCCAAUCGGAUUAAUCUGAUCUGAAUCCGAAGUUGCCCAACCCUACAUGUAACCACUAAGAAAUUAUAACAAUUAUUCUAGAUCCUUUUAUCAUUCAGACACUUUUUGCGAAAAGGACUGUGAGCCCCAAAGUUUGGAAAAAAAAAGACUUAAAACUUGUUAAUGUUCAAAUAUAUAUAUAUAUAUAUAUAUAAAAUUCUCUUUUUAUUAAUAAAUUCUGUUUAUUUUAAUACUAAAUUUAUUUUUAAUUUAGAAUUACUAUUAUAUACCUAUAAUAAAUAAAUUAAUAUAUUGACUUAAGAAAUGUUACGUGUAUAAUAAAAUCAAUAAUUUUUAUUUAAAACUUAAAAUUAAGAUAUAAUUAUUUUUUGCCCAAAUUAUUCAUUAUUUUUAGAGUGAAAUUUUAAUUUUAAUUUUAUCCAUUAUUUAUUAUUUUUUAUUGUGAAGGGUAUAUUGAUAAUUUAGAAUGGAUAACUUGGGCAAAAAGGUAAUAUAUCUCAAUUUUAAGUUUUAAAUAAAAAAAUUAUUUAUUUUAUUAUACACGUCAUCGACGACAUGUCUUAGGUCACUAUAUUGAUUUAUUUAUUAUAGGAAUAUAAAAGUAAUUAUAAAUUAAAAUAAAUUUAUUAUUAAAACAAAUUGAAUUUACUAAUAAAAAUGGGGGUUAUAUGUCUUUUUUUAUUAUGUUAAAGGAUGAUAACAUGACCAGAGUAAAAUAAGUAUUUUGUCCAACUAUGUAUAACCAAAAAAAAAUUAUCUCUAAAUCACAAAUCUUCAUAAAAAAAAUUUUACUAUCAUUAAAAUUUCAGACAAUUUCUCUGCUCUUUUAAUCUUUAACUAUUCUAAAAUAGCUAUUAUUCUUUGCAAAAUCUAAACAACUGUUCAAAUUAAAUUAAGGGUAAAUUCAAUUUAUUUCUUAAUUAGAAUAAUAAUCUUUAAUAUACCUCUCGAAAGUAUGAAAAUUUCAAUUUAUUCUCAUUUUCAUUUAGAAUAUGAUAUCAAAUAAGAGACACGUUGAUGACUUUUCUUAUUAAAAAAAAAACAAUUCUAAGGAGAUUGGUGAAUUGAAGUUUGCCCUAGAAAGAAUUUAAAAAAAUCCUUGACCCUCAGUAAAUGCUUCUACUUCCCUCAAGAAAUAGUCAAAAUACGAUGAACAAUUGAAGAUGCUUAAUUAUUUACUAAAAAGAAAUGAUAUUGUAUCAUGAAAAUGAUCCAACCCGACGAAGCCAAAAUAAAAUGCGGUUUACCUCUCUGUGUCUCCACCACCACCUGCCCUUUGGCGACAGCUGAAAGCUGUCUUUCAUUUCUCCCAACCAACACUCUUAACCUAGGACUCUUUCUUUGUAUUAUUUUCGGAGCCUGAUUUUUUACAAUUUUUCCUAAGGAAGAUAUAAUUUGUUCAUUUGUAUCAAUCAAGUCCCCAAUGCCUAAUGAGAUAAGUCGACAGCUGUAAGUUCUCGUAUAAUAUUGAUUUUUAGAUUUCUGACUAUCACAAUCUUUGAUAUGUUACGUUAACAAAAACGAAUUUAAUAAAAGAACUCUAAAAAGAAUUUCAAUCAUUUUAAUAAAAAAUGUAUGGGAUUGUAUUUAAGAUGAGUUUGUGUGUUACGUAUUCAAAUUUGGAUUGCUUAAAUAAAGUUCUUACAAAGUUACUUGGUUAAAUUUAGGUGGGUAAACAAAUAUAACCACUUGAAAAUUUCUUGGAUAAGCUGGUGAUGGCAUUUUCUUUUUUUAAAAAAAAUUGUACAAGAAGGAACAAAAUUAAAAUUAAUUUUUUUAG